rnacentral:lncRNA from 1 species
AAGACAUCUCAUCAGGAUGAACUGGGGCAAGGCAGCCUCCAGAAACACACCUGGGUCUCUGGGCAGUCAUCUGCAGGCGAUUGCCUCCAGGUGUUUGCCAGUGGGAACCCAUUGAAAGUCGAUGCAAUUUAGAGCAAUUUCUCUGGCAGUGGAAAUUAACCUGCAGGAAUCUGCCGGCAACAGGUGUAUUUUAGGGCAGACAUACCAGCGUCCUGCACUGUGGAGACAGGACUUUGACUACCAGGUGUAGUGCAGAAGGCUGGAUAAUUGGAGGAGGCAGAAAAUUAGUGCAGAGAAGAUGGCCAAAUUGCAGGCAUUUGCUACAAUGUGCUCUGAAGAAAUGGAUUGGAAAUAAACAAAUAAAUAAAUAAAUAAAUAAUUCCACAGGAGGAAAAAAAUGCGUUCUGAAAGGAUCAGGAUUUUCAAAGCCCCCAAGCUUCAACAUAUCCGAGGAUCGAAGGCCUGAAUAAAGUGGCAUCACAGAAGUGUGAGAACAGCCUUUCCCCAUUCUCCGGAGUGGAUCCAUGAGCCAGGAGUCAGGCCUGCACUUUGAGGAGCGGAAGUGCUUUUGUGAGGACAAGCAAGAAUGUCUUGUAAUUUCAACUACCCUUAAAGCUGUUUCAGGGUUCCCUGAUAAUGAACUAACUGAUACUGGGACUUCCCUUCUCCAUCCCCCAAAGAAAAGCUGCGUUCCAACUCAACACCUCAUAGAACCAGAGCCCCCUAAUAUCCCUAGGUGUGGGCAGCUGGCAUUCCCCAACAUUCCCCUAACACCCAGCACCUAAGCUAAGAAUGCUUGGGGCCUGAACCCCAAAUGUUUAUUCAGCCAUGUAAAGCCACUUGCACACUUGUCCUAUAAAAAAGGAAAGCAACAGAAUGUUUUUCUCCUCUUGGAGCAGAGCCCCACAGUGAAUCUAGCAAUGCACUGGCUCAAACAUGCCCCCUUUUCAGCAGCAUGCUGAAAGAAAUAGGAUCCAUGCGUCAGCUGGAAUUUCUAUCUCUGAGUUUCUACCUAAACUAAGUGAUACUUUCUGUUAUUCCCAGUCACAUCAAAACAAAUGUGAGAUUCAAAUUUUAAACUGGGCUAUACUGUAACAAAUUAGACUUGACUCUUUUUGUUUUGUUUUGUUUAAAUAACAGAAAGUGACUAGAAAACUAUAGGAUCCACCUAAGAUGCUAAGACAUGGCAAAGUGAGACCAAACAUAGCACAACAAAUAGUUGGAGACAAAAUAAAAGCAUUUUACAUUUGUGCACUACAAUGUUCAGGCUAUUCAACACACUGAUUUCACACAUACAGUCCCAUUUAUUGCCAACAAUAACCCUGCAAAGUAGGUACUAUUAUUGGGCACAUUUUACAUAUAAAACGACUUAAAAUUAGAGGAGGUAGUAUAUAUUUUCCUAAUUUUUGGCAGCCCAGCAUCUAAAGCCCUUUUCUAUGCUUGAAGAAUGCCCUGCCUUAUGAGUGAGUCUUGCUGGAAAGAAGAGACCAGCUUCCAAUAUAAAAACUGAAAAUACCAAAUACUUUUCCCAUAUUCCCUGAUAACUAUCACACUGACAUUAGAAGAGUCUCCACCAACAGAUGUGAGCAUGCCAGUUUUCCCCAGAAUCUAAAGAUACAAAGAAAGAGGAUUUUUGUGGGAAACCACUCUGGUGAAAAUGCCAGUGGAAGUCCUACACUGAACCCGAUUUCCAGUGGCAAGAAUUUUAGUGGCUCCAGCAGCGAUGCCCAGUGCUCCGUGACUAUGGGUUCACAAUGUACACAAACUGGUUGGGCCACUGCAGAUGAAAGAGAUGGCUUCAAGUGCUCAGUUAUGUGUCUUGAUUGGUAAUGUGGCCAUUGGCUGGGUAAUGUCCACACUGCUUCUCUGGCCCUUUUGAAGUGUCUGUUAGCCAUAAUAACUAGAUUUAUUUUCUGAUUAAAUUAGCUAGAAUUAGGUUCUGACUGACUUAGGAUAAGUAAUUGCUCUCUGAUCACACAUAGAGCAAAUGAUGGAGCUGGAAUUCCAGUCUUCACUAGGUUAUACUGAAUGAUGAGAUAAUGUUAUGGGCUGAAUUCAUGUGUUGAAGUCCUCAUCUCCAGAACCUCAGAAUGUCUGUAUUUGGAGAAGAGUUUUUAAUGUUGUAAUUCAGUGAAAGUGAGGUCAGUAGGGUGGCUAUAAUUCAAUAUGACCUGAAUCCUUACGAGAAUGAAAAUCUGGACACAGAAAUCCGUGUGGGAGGCCAUGUGAAGACACGGAGAAAGCAUCCAUCUGUGAGCCAAAGAGAGAGGCCUCAGAAGAAACCACCCCUGCAGACACCUUGUAAUUGGACGUCUAGCCUUCAGAACUGUGAAACAGGAAAUUUCUGUUAUUUAAGCCACCCAGUCUAUGGUACUUUGUUAUGGCAGUCCUAAUAAACUAAUACCAGGAAUGAGGAAUACGAAAGAAUUCAAGAUGAUCUCAAAGUUGCUCAAUGAGGUGACUUUAGAAAAGAUGAAGGGUAUGAGAGGAGUAGCCAUUGCAGAAGGAGAACAAGAUCAUGAAUUCAAUUCAGAAAACUUUGAUUUUGAGACCUCUGCAGGAGAAAAUAAGAGAAAGCUUCAAAGGCCUAGCUUCCUUUAUAGAGUCCUGGGAGAGACCUAAAGUUGAGGAAUAGAGAGAAAAGGCACCUCUGGAUACUCACUGGCAUUGGAUCCAGCUCUGAGUUGCUUGCUUUCUGGGCUUCAGAAUGACAAAGCAGGUUUAUGCACAGAGUUUUUCAAUAAGCAAGUCCCCACUGAAGGUCACAGGCCUAUUUCAGCAGUGGGAGAAACCACAGUCAGCAGUAUUGGGCCAUGCAAGUGAAGGGUUGUUCACUGGAGAGGUUUGUUACCUUAUUGGGAAGAUGAAGUUUUCAUCCAGCAUUAAGCCUAUGGCUAUAAUUCAGGGAUGAGACAAGGGUGUUUGCAUUUGUUAGCAUGAAGACAAACAAAUCCAACACCCUUAGGUCAGAAUUUCAGCUUAACAUGGUAUCUUGUGCUUGAAUAUCCCUUGCAACCUCUCCUGACUUUCCACUUUCCAAAGUGAGUCUUUUAAAAUGCUCACGUUUUGGCUCACACCUGUAAUCCCAGCACUUUGGGAGGCCGAGGCGGGCGGAUCACGAGAUCAGGAGAUCAAGACCACGGUGAAACCCCGUCUCUACUAAAAUACAAAAAAUUAACCGGGCGUGGUGGUGGGCUCCUGUAGUCCCAGCUACUCGGGAGGCUGAGGCAGGAGAAUGACGUGAACCCCGAAGGCGGAGCUUGCAGUGAGCCGAGAUUUCGCCACUGCACUCCAGCCUGGGCGACACUGCGAGACUCCGUCUCAAAAAAAAAAAAAAAAAAAAAAAAAAAAAGGCCACGUUUAUUGGUCUUAUGCCUAUAAAAAAAGUCUAUGUGGACAACCACUCAUUGAUUCAAUAAAUAAUGCUUAAGUGCUUACUCUGUGCCAGGAUUCUGAAAGGCACUGUGGGUAAAUGGUAGGCAAAUCUAAACCUGGUCCUGCCUUCAGAGAGUCUACUGUUUGAACGGAAAAAGAAGAGAAUGAGGCCAAACAAGAGGUUGUUCACCUGAGGAAAUGGAUGGGAGCUGGGCAAGCCUACCUGGCAGAGGCUCACCUGGCUGAGUACCUAUGAAAUUGCCAUGGAUGAUCUCAAAAUUCAAAGAAAAGUCCAGUGCAUAUAAAUAAAAACCUUGAAAACACAAAUUCAUAGGCAAAAGGCUGAGAGGCCACAUAAAUUACUUUUAGUGAAAACAACAAAUAAUAUUAGUAUUAUUUCUGUUUCAGUAUUCAAGGCAGUGGUGAUGGGAACUUGAGGGCAUGAGAAUCAGGGCAAAGAGAAUUACUGAAAGAGUAAAACUAUCUUAAAGAUGUGAGGUUGGCCACUGAUGGAGAGGACAAGCAGGACAGGGAUCGGGGGACCAAAGUCCAGCUGCACUGACUCCAUUCAGCUCUGCUCUGUUCACCCUCAUCCCAAACCUGUCCCCAUCCCCAGACAAAUAGAAGCUGUGGACAAAGAUUGUUUUUGCCCUCCACAUCUCCAAUACUCUGUUUUCAAAUGACUGCAACCAACCCAACAAAAGAACUCACUUAACAUAUUAGUAGUAUCUUAAAUGAUGCAAUUUUAUCUUGUCCAUGAAAUAGCUUCAAUUAAAACAAAUUAUCUCUUUCCAUUCAUAGCUUAAUUCAUAUAGCACAUCUGAUAGAGCCUUUUUAAAUGCUCACUUUUAUUGGUCUUAUUUCAAAAUUAAUUCAUGUUUAUAGUCUAGCAUUUAGAAAAUUCCAAGGCAAAGCAGGCUACAUUUGUGUGUUUCCUCUUGGUGUCUCCAGUGCCCCAUGCCGCCACUGCACAGAGGACAUUAAGCAUUGAACACAGAGAACUAAACCACUUAAGGAACCACCCAUAAUCUCAAUACCAAUAGAUACUUACCCUCACUUUUUUGAUAUGUUUUUUCCAGUCACUUGUGUAUGUAAGCAUACAUACAAAAACAGGUGUGUGUGUGUGUGUAAAAAUGUGUGUUUACAGAGUUCGUUUUACAGGAAAGCACAAAGUCAGAUAGUUGUUAUCGGGCACCUAUGGGAAAUGUCAUAGGAGACUAAAGAUGAGACGAAAACUUUGGGACCACCACUCUUAAUCAUCCUAAUACUUGAUCUUUCCAUGGCUACCCUGAGAUAGAAUAAAUGGCUUUUGUAAAACAACUUAAACCUCAUCUCCUUAAUUGAGGUAUCCUGCUUUCUUACUCUUAUUUACGUGUCUAAGUCAGGGAGAAACAUCCCAUUAUGUCACAAAUAAGAUUAAAGGUAGUUGUAAUUAAAUUUCACCAUGUGCCCUGAGUUUUCCCACCUGAGAAUUAUAAGAAAAAAAUCAAAAGGUCUUCUCCUCUUACUAGACUACCCACCAAAUGGUCAUUACAUUUUCCUGUAGGCUGCAGAUAAAAUCUCUCUAUCAUAAGUCUCCCAAUCACCAAGUGAGAAAACACCACUCUGGGGUCCAGGGAUGUGUAGGCAAUUGAAGAGUUUCUCUUUUAAGAAUGGCAGCUCAUUAGGGUAAGUGUCCAAGAACAUAAUGAAAAAAUUGUGGUAUAUUUAUACUGGGGGAUAUGCCAGAUUAAAAAACGAACACAUUUGAGUUACAGAUAGCAACAUGGAUAAAUCUCUAAUGCAGAAUUUUAAUAAGAAAAAGGCAUAUUGCAGAAUUAUAGGUGCAGUAUAAUACCAUGUAUAUAAAGUUUAAACACAAAAACAUGCUAUAUAUCUUUUAUGGAUAUAUCCUUGUGCAGUAAAAAAUAUAAAAUAUGCAUAAGAAUGACAAAGACAAAUUUUAGAGGAUUUAUUCCCUUAGGGAGAAAAGGAAACGGCAUCACAAGGAUUACAAGAUUUGAAUUGAAUCUACAAUAUUUUAUUCCUUAAGCUGAGUAGCGGGUACAUGGGUGUUCAUAUACUCAAAACCAUUUUUGGCACAUGAAAUAUUUUAAAAUUUUUUAAAAAGCUAGAUAGUAUGAUUGACAUCUUCAGAUACUUGAAGAUCUGGCAUGUUGAUGAUGGAAAGUAUCCUAUGACUAAGUAGGUAAAGCUAUUAUGAAGGCAAAUUUUAGGUCAUUCUUAGGAAAAACCUAAAAGGGCUGUCUAAAAAUGAACAGUGUCUUCUACAUGAUUAAGGAGUAAAACAGAGUUAAGGUCUUCGGAGGUAGCAAGUCACAGUGCAAGUAGAGUUCACUUGUCUUUGUCUUGAAAGCAAAGAUUUCUUUUCUCUUGCAAAAUUCCCGGGACAUAUCCUGAUAAAGCUUUACAUCUCAGCAGCAUCACUCUGAUUGCUCUUUUUUCAGUUGGUGUCAUUGGAAGCCCCUAAACCCUAUUUAACUUCAGUGCCAUUGACUGGCACUUCCUGCCACUUACAUCUUUGCCAUUUGGCAGUGCCUGGGUUGGACAGAUCUGCCACCUGGUUCUGGUUCUGCAUUAUUGUCAUUCCUUGUGCCAGUCAUAAGGAUUCACUGGCACCCCUCUGAGAUUAGGAGUUCUCCAGGUCUGGAGAUAUUAAAAAAGAGAGAGAUGGUCAGCGAUGCUAUAGAAGGGAUUUUAGUAGUCUCUGGUAUGCUGGAGCACAUAACCUUUGAGUAUGGAUUUCCAUAUUCAUUUAUUCAAGAAAUGUUUAGUGAGUGUUUACUUUGUGCAAAGCACCUUGCUCGUUAAGCUUCUAUGGCUCUAGAAUUUGUCUUUGAAAAUGCGUCUCUAACUUUACAGAAAUGAAAAUUGAGACAUGAUGGGAAAACUUAUUUUAAGCAAACAAUAAGGCAGGCAGGCAGGCUGUGGUUUGCAGACCGACCACUUCUAGCCUUAUUGCCAAGAGCACUACGAGAGUCACAGGAACAUUUUGGAGAUAAUGUUACAUUCACAGACUUGUACAUGUCUUACAGUGAAAGACACCCCAGAGGUUAUCCAAUUCAAAUACUUCAUUUUACAGACGAGGAAACAAAAGCCUGGGGAGGUAUGUGGCUAACUGAUUGCAGAAUCUAUUCUCAGAUAUGGUAUUUCCUUCCCAACCUUGAAAGUUGUGUUCCUGAAAACCUCCAUGGAAGGAGAAAUUACACUUGAGGAACUUACGACCUUAGGAAGAAAAUAGAGUUUGGGGAGUAAGAUAGUGAGUGAAUCUGAGAAAGUUAUCAUCAUUGUUUUAUAUCUACUAAUAAAACAAUGUAGGUACCAUUGAUACCCACUUUAUUUUAUGCCGAACGCAUUUGUAAUGGUGAAUCUUGUACAGGUGAUUUUAUUUACUUCUUAGAAUUCCUUAUUAACACUUCUCUAGGCUCUCUAUACACAAUUUUUGUAAAACUUCUUGUGAGUCAUUGCCUUUUUGUGUAAAUACUGGUUACAAUGGAUUGUUUUCUGUUUCAGGUCCUGUUGUCUCUGCCUUUUUGCAUCUUUGACAUUAUCAUUGUAACUUAUAACUUCUAACCUCUACUCUGACUCAACUUGGUUGUUUCCUGAUUCCUCUCUCUCCUUCUUGCUGUUCCUUCUCUCUGCUGUCCUUUAACUGUAGCUGCUCACCAGGACUAUGCUGUAAACUUUCACCUCCUCUCACUGUUUACUCUACCUAUGUAACUAUCAUGUUUGAUAAUGAGGUCCUGCUGAAUAAGCCUGUUUGCUGUCUUUCCAGGCUGUGCUUUCCCACUCCUGCAGCUACUGCCUUAAUUCAGGUUAUCACUGUCUCUCACUAGGACCCCUGCACUAAUCUCCUUGAUUGGUCAAAGGUUUCAUUAUUUGCAUUGUGCUCUGAGUGAAAUUUUCUUAUGACGGCUUACAGUUCCCAGUGGCUGCAUGUGCCUAUAGAACACUAACUUCCUAAGCAUUUCAUCCAAGGCCCUCCACCUUAGCUCUUGUACCCUUUACUCCAGCCAUAUUUAUUGACCCUACUUGAUGGCCUAAUGUACCAGACUAUUUGGCAUCUUCAUGCCUUUGUGAACUGACUUUUCUUCAUCAGGAAUGCCCUUCACUCUGCCCCUCUCACGCUACCCAUUUCCCCUCCCACGUGCAAUCACCUGCCUGGUGAACAUCUACUCUUCCUCGAAAACUUUGCUCAUACCAUCACCUCUCCCUUGGAGGUACCACUUCCUACUCCUACUUUCUGCUCAUCUCGUACCUCAUUAAAGAGAAUAGGAGGUUCCCACCACAAAAUCUGAAAGCCUCCUGCCACAAAACCUGUCUUCUUCCCUCUGUGCAACUGAAUGUGACUCCUUGUAAUCAAAUGCUCAUCCCUCAAUUCAUGUUGGGAAUCCCAUCUCUCUCACUUUCUCAAGAAGUUCAAUGCUUCUGUCAGACUGUCUCCAGUCAAUUAUUCCCAUCAGCAUAUAAACAUAAUCCAGUAUUACUGUCCUAACCAAUACUCCAUAUUGAUCCACAUCCCUUUCCAGCUACCAUUCUUUUCUGUCUUUCACAAUAAAAUUCCAUAAAAUAGUUGUGUACACACAGCACUUUUAUGUUUUCACUUCACAGUCACUUUGGAAUUCACUUCAAAUUGGCAUUCACCCACAUGACCCAGUUGGUCACUAAUGACCUUUAUAGUGCUAUGUCCACAUUUUCAUCUCACUAGAACUUUCAGCAACAUCCAACAAUUGACCAUUCUCUUCUCAAAAUUGGCCAUUCUCUUCUUGAAAUUGUUCUUGGCUUACAUGAUUCCAUAUUUCCCUGGUCUUUUAUCUGCUUCUCUACCUGCUCCUCCUAAGCCUCUGUUGUGUCUUUUCUUCCACUUUCUAUAAUACCUCUAAGUAUUGAAUUUCCUCAGUAUUCUGCUCUGAACCCCAUGCCUUAUGUUUCCAUAAAUAAUCUCAUUCAUCCUCAUGGCUUAAAAUACCAAUUCCAAGCCAAUGACUCCUAUGUCUGUAUCUCUAGUCCUAACCUCUCCUCUGACCUCCUGACUUAUACUCUUGUCUUUAUAACACCCACUUAUGAAUGCUUCAUGGACAUCUCACAUAAAUAUAUCCAAGACUGCAUUUUUAUUUCCCUCUGAAAACCUAGUCCUCCUUCCAUCCUCCCCACCUCCCUUUUUUGGCAACAUUAUCCACGCUGUUGAUCAGGUCUGGAUCCUGGGAGUCACUAAUUAUUUCUCCCUGUAUUUCUUCCUCUAGUCCAAUUCGUCACUAAGUCUGAUCAUCUGUCUCCUAAAUGCAGCAUAAGGAGAUCCACUUUUCUUUAUCGUUACUGCCACAUUGUAGUUUGAUCUACUAUUAUUUUAAACUUAACAACCACAAUACCUUCAAACUGAUCUCCAUGCACACAGAACACAGUGACUCUCAUCCUUAAUUGAAUCUCUACACAGCCACAGAAACAGUCUUUCUUGAAACAUAAAUCCCAGCAUGACACUGCCUGACAUGCAAUCUCUCUUUGCACUUUGUCUUAGUCCAGGUACAUCAGUGUUGCUAUAAGUCCUGUUGGUCAGCCUCCUGCCCCGUACCCUAAGCUCAUCUUACAUCAGCGAGUCCUCACUCUCCACUCUCUAGACUGACUCCUGAUGUUUUCUCAAGCAAGUUGAUUUCUUUCUCAUCUUAAUCCUUCACAGGUGGUACAUAGUGCUUCCCGAGUUUAGAUCUCCACUCUCCCUUAUGUUCUCAUAAAGGAUUCAUAUGUCCUUUAGGUCUUGGCUUAAAUGCCAUCUAUUCAGAGAAGCCUUCCCUGGCGACCUUAUCUGAGUCAAUCUUCCAUUGUUAUAUUGUUAUAUUGAUUUGCUUUGUUUCUUGCUACUUCUUCUACUUGACUCGGUAGAAGGCUCUGCAUAAUUGACCAAAAUAUAUACAGUGUUUUUCAGAGUGCUAGUCACCUAUUAGUACUGAAGAAUUAUUUGUUGAAUAACUUAAUGAUUUUUUUGCAGUUACACGAGUGUUGUUUUGAUUGACUGAAAAUAGAUUGCCUAAGAUGACAUGAAAGAUCAAAGGUGAAGAGUGGAAGAUAGCACCACUUUGGGUUAAAAGUUUACUUAAGUCAGCAACUCCUCAAGAAACAGCUACCAGCAUUCCUGGGACUAUUAUGCCCUGGUCUACUUGUAGCCUGUUUGUAUUCCAGCCUACUUUGGCACCUUGCCGUCUCUGCUUACCGACUUUCUGCAUAAGAGUGAAAUAGAAAGUGACUUGGAACCAUGUAUACCUAAAGUGUGACAUUUAAAAAAACGUCCUCAGAAAAACUAAUAUCCUGGUUAUUUUUGAAUGUGCUAAGAGACUCUUUUUUUUAAUCUUGUUUUUUUAUUUUGAAUAUAGAGCACAUUGAGGUUUAAAAUGGAAAAUUCUAUUAAAAAUAAAAGGCAUACGUUUACAUAUCUUACAAUUACCUCUGCUUCUGUCCCUCCCAUUCCUUAUGAG